GGGUGAGGAAAUUUUUGUUGUAGAUGGUUCUUGGCUAGUUGAUGGAAGCUGAGUGGUCGUGGUUAUUGGUUCUAUUGUUUCAGUUGAUUGUCCAGGAGAUGUUUGAGUGACAUGAGCUGUCACUGAGGGGGAUGCAGAAGUAGGACUGGCUGAUAACUCUGUGACUGUGGAGGUAAUUACAGUUGUUGUUUGAUCACUGCUGGAGGUUGCUGUAGGUCCACUUGUGGUGACCGUUGUGGGUGACAGUGUUGUGUCGGAUUCUCCCGUCGAUGUCACCACUGCAGAAGAUAUAAACUGUGUCUCAGUGGGUGAGGAGAUUCUUGUUGUAGAUGGUUCGUGGCUAGUUGAUGGAAGGUGAGUGGUCUUGGUUAUUGGUUCUGUUGUUUCAGUUGAUUGUCCAGGAGAUGUUUGAGUGACAUGGGGUGUUAUUGACAGGGAUGUAGAAGUUGGACUGGCUGAUAACUCCGUGACUGUGGAAGUAAUUACAGUUGUCAUUUGAUCAUUGCUGGAGGUUGCUGUAGAUGCACUUGUGUUGACUGUUGAUGUUGGCAGUGUUGACUCAGACUCUCUGGUAGUUGUGUCCAUCGCAGAAGAUGUAAACUUCACCUUGGUGGGUGAGGACAUUCUUGUUGUAGAUGGUUCGUGGCUAGUUGAUGGAAGCUGAGUGGUCUUGGUUAUUGGUUCUGUUGUUUCAGUUGAUUGUUCAGGAGAUGCUUGAGUGACAUGAGCUGUCACUGAGGGGGAUGCAGAAGUAGGACUGGUUGAUAAAUCUGUGUCUGUGGAGGUAAUUACAGUUGUUUGAUCACUGCUGGAGGUUGCUGUAGGUCCACUUGUGGUGACCGCUGAGGAUGAAAAUGUUGUGUCGGAUUCUCCCGUCGCUGUCACCAUCGCAGUAGAUGUAAAUUGUGCCUUGGUGGGUGAGGAGUUUCCAGAUGUAGAUGGUUCAGCUGAUCGAAGCUGAGUGAUCUUGAGAUCUUGGGAUCGUCCCUUCGAUGUACGUUGGUGAGUCUGUGAUGCUGCGCUGUGACCAGGGCCGUUUCUUGCUAUAUGCAGACUAUGUGGGUGCACAGGGCCCCCGCACCACUAGGGUGCCCCCUCAAGUUACAGGUCUGGUCUCAAUAUCUGAGGAGUGACCUGAUGGAAAAGGUGUCAAAAGUACCUGGCACCUGGCCCGGUGAUUGGUCAGAUCUGCUCUCUACCGAUUGGUCAGGUCUAGUGUCUAUUGCGCCCUGUUGCUAUGAUGACCAGUACAACUAAGCUAGGAGAGGUGAGGCGAGUUGCGCUGAGCUGCUGGUACCGGUCAUUUACGGCAUAGCAUCAAAACGAAAGUAUUCAUCUAGUUCAGAAAAAAGAAGAAACUAAAUGAAGAAAAACACUCACAGGAUAAAGGAGCAAUUCUGAAAUAUUUUGGAGCCACAGACCAGGAAGCAGCAGGGCCAUCUUCAGCACCACCAGACCAGAAUGUUUAAGUUUAAAAAUGUUUUACAAUUUAAAAUAAAUAUUUUGGAGGA